UACGUAGGGAGCAAGCGUUGUUCGGAAUUACUGGGCGUAAAGCGCGCGUAGGCGGACCUGCAAGUCGGGGGUGAAAGCCCAAGGCUCAACCUCGGAACUGCCUUCGAUACUGCGGGUCUCGAGUCCGGGAGAGGUGAGUGGAAUUCCUAGUGUAGAGGUGAAAUUCGUAGAUAUUAGGAAGAACACCAGUGGCGAAGGCGGCUCACUGGCCCGGUACUGACGCUGAGGCGCGAAAGCGUGGGGAGCAAACAGG
rnacentral:rRNA from 1 species